CAGCAGCCGCGGGAAUACGGAGGGUGCAAGCGUUAAUCGGAAUUACUGGGCGUAAAGCGCACGCAGGCGGUCUGUCAAGUCGGAUGUGAAAUCCCCGGGCUCAACCUGGGAACUGCAUUCGAAACUGGCAGGCUAGAGUCUUGUAGAGGGGGGUAGAAUUCCAGGUGUAGCGGUGAAAUGCGUAGAGAUCUGGAGGAAUACCGGUGGCGAAGGCGGCCCCCUGGACAAAGACUGACGCUCAGGUGCGAAAGCGUGGGGAGCAAACAGGAUUAGAUACCCCUGUAGUCCCUGUCUCUUAUAC
rnacentral:rRNA from 1 species